UGGGGAAUAUUGCACAAUGGGCGCAAGCCUGAUGCAGCCAUGCCGCGUGUGUGAAGAAGGCCUUCGGGUUGUAAAGCACUUUCAGCGAGGAGGAAGGUGGUGAGCUUAAUACGCUCAUCAAUUGACGUUACUCGCAGAAGAAGCACCGGCUAACUCCGUGCCAGCAGCCGCGGUAAUACGGAGGGUGCAAGCGUUAAUCGGAAUUACUGGGCGUAAAGCGCACGCAGGCGGUUUGUUAAGUCAGAUGUGAAAUCCCCGGGCUCAACCUGGGAACUGCAUUUGAAACUGGCAAGCUAGAGUCUCGUAGAGGGGGGUAGAAUUCCAGGUGUAGCGGUGAAAUGCGUAGAGAUCUGGAGGAAUACCGGUGGCGAAGGCGGCCCCCCUGGACGAAGACUGACGCUCAGGUGCGAAAGCGUGGGGCAGCAAACAGGAUUAGAUACCCUGGUAGUCCAGCGCUGUAAAACGAUGUCGAUUUGGAGGUUGUGCCCUUGAGGCGUGGCUUCCGGAGCUAACGCGUUAAAUCGACCGCCUGGGGAGUACGGCCGCAAGGUUAAAACUCAAAUGAAUUGAC
rnacentral:rRNA from 1 species